UAAAAGAGCUUCAAAUAACAUAAGAGAAAGUAUCCACAAAGAAGAAUUACUGGCAGAGUUCUACGAAAAUGACAGCAAGAUUUCUGAUUCAAAACAGUGGACUAAGUAUAAACAGCUCCCCGUUCCACAGCAAGUUUCUACAAACAAUCACAAAGGAGGGGAAUUCGGUGAGUAAAAUGAAACUGAAGACUUUUAAAGUGGAGCCCCAAGACAGAGUGCAGUAUUUCUAUAAGACUGAGGAACGGAAGCUCUAAUCAUCGCGACUAUAGAAAAUUCCUCUGCAAGAACGUCAUCUUCACCACCUGCUAAGCAGAGGAGCCAGGCUAGGGGCAGGAAUCCCUGCAGAGGCCAAUGGCAAUAAAUAGCAGACACCGAGAACUGUAAAGUACUAUCCAACCUCACUCCAAGAAAGGAAAUAACACUUCACAGCUAAAGAACAUUUUUUAUUAAAUUCAAUCUUAACAUACUAA